rnacentral:rRNA from 1 species
GUAGGGUCCAAGCGUUGUCCGGAUUUAUUGGGCGUAAAGAGCUCGUAGGCGGCUCGGUAAGUCGAGUGUGAAAUCCCCGGGCUUAACUUGGGAAUUGCGCUCGAAACUACUUGGCUCGAGUGUGGCAGAGGGGGGUGGAAUUCCACGUGUAGCGGUGAAAUGCGUAGAGAUGUGAGGAACACCAAUGGCGAAGGCAGCCCCCUGGGCCAACACUGACGCUCAUGCACGAAAGCGUGGGGAGCAAACAGGAUUAGAUACCCUGGUAGUCCACGCCCUAAACGAUGAUGACUAGUUGUUGGGGGAGUUAAAUCCCUUAGUAACGCAGCUAACGCGCGAAGUCAUCCGCCUGGGGAGUACGGUCGCAAGAUUA